GGCCCAGGGCAAGGGGAAGAGCCAGAGGGGCGGGCAGAGCAGCCAUGGGGGCGGCAGCGGGGUGGAUAGCAGGAACCUCACCUGCCAGGAGAGAGAGCAGAGCACAGAUGAAUCCCAGCUUCAUGACCUUGGGCACUUAGGUCCUCGAGUGUGCCGGGCGCUUCUUUAUGAAGGAGGAAGAUGUUUAAGGCCGAGCUCCUGGCGUGGAAGCAAGUUUAUUUUGGAUAAAGCGUGCUGGGACCAACCUCCCCGGGCAGGUGUGCAGGGGCCUUGCCCAGAAAGCAGGCUAGGUGCACAGAAAGACCCAGGGUGAGAGGAGGAGGAAGAGGAGGAGGAGGAAGAACAGGAGAAGGCUUGAGAGAAACCCAGAUGGAGAGAGACUCAACUUCAGAGCUCCCUCCGCCAGGAAGCAUCCUGUGAUUUCUCCAGGCAGAGUCAAUCUUCGGCUCCCCGGGGGCACUCACAACCAAUUCCACUUCCGGCUGACCCUCGGCCUGAUUAUGAAGCUGGGGUGGGGCUCCCCUUGAAUGCUCUCUCGCUAUGGUGUCAUGAUUUGGAACAUGGACUCUAGAACUGAACCACGUGUGUCCACAUCUGAACGCCGGCAGUGAUUAGCGUGUGACUUUGGGCAAGUCACCGGAUCUAAGUUGCUCCGCCUGUUAAGCAGCAGUGAUAACCAGGGUUGCGGGGGGGUCAAGUGAACGAACAUACAGGAAGCACUUACAACAGUUUCUAACACAUGGGAAGCACGCAGUAAAUAUGUCUGUCCACCUCCUAUGGCGUCCUGCACUGCCUUCAUCACCGUACAUCUCACCCCUGCCUGCAAUUGUCUUAUUCCUUCUCUAGACCUGGAAGUCCUUGAGACCCCAGACUGGAUACUCACUAUGUGCUAAGUGCCAUGCUAACUGCUUUUUUUUUUUUUUUUUAAGU